AUUAAGCUAAAAGUGAAAUGUUUGUUAGGUUUAAGUAAAAAGUGUCAAUUUCAAGUUUUUUAAAAAAUGUCUGCGUAUAUACUAUAUUCAAGAGCAUUACAAUACAUUUGCAUUCCAGUCUCAACACUACAUACAGUUCCUAUGACCCAUAUAGUACACAUAACAUCGAGAAGCACAUGGAAGGACCAGUUGAGCAGGAACGAAGCAACCUAUAGAGCCACAAAGCAAAUGAGAAGUCUAUGCCUCGGUGUAGUUAUUAAUUAUUCUGUAGACUCAGGAGCAGUCACAUUCAAGCAACAGAUACAUACCAAGGAUUACCGGAUCUCUCCGACGCUCAUAAACACUGUCCAACACUUGUGAUCCAUUUACUCGCAUAAAACGGCAUAUACACGUAUUCUACACUUUGAAACGUUCAGCCCAGAAGAUGUUCUUAGAAUAGUUGGUGAAUAUUCUCAAGACUCCAUCUGGCACGCAACAGCAUACAACAUACCUAUUUUAUGAAAUAAACCGGACUGCGGAGUGCGUAAGCAUAAUAUAAUUAAUGAACUUUGCUGAUGGUUCCUGCAGCACCAUUCAAUCAAGAAAGAUCAAAUAAACCAUCAAUACACAUACAUAUCUACAUACAUAUCUACAUACAUAUCUACAUACAUAUCUACAUACAUAUCUACAUACAUA